rnacentral:rRNA from 1 species
GGUGCUGCAUGGUUGUCGUCAGCUCGUGCCAUGAGGUGUCGGGUUAAGUCCCAUAACGAGCGCAACCCUUAUCGUUAGUUGCCAUCUGGUAAAGCAGGGGACUCUAGCGAAACUGCCACCGUAAGGUGAGAGAAGGUGGGGAUGACGUCAAAUCAGCACGGCCCUUAUGUCCAGGGCUACACACGUGUUACAAUGGUCGGUACAGAGGGCAGCUACCUGGUGACAGGAUGCUAAUCUCGAAAACCGGCCUCAGUUCGGAUCGAAGUCUGCAACUCGACUUCGUGAAGCUGGAUUCGCUAGUAAUCGCGCAUCAGCCAUGGCGCGGUGAAUACGUUCCCGGGCCUU